AUGAAUGAUGAAAUAUACUGGGCUCCGAGCAGUGAAUUACGCUGCGUUUUGAUGGAUAUGCGUUUGCCUAGAAAGCAUUGUCUGACAC
rfam:Oryza barthii chromosome 3, whole genome shotgun sequence.